ACCGUCUGAGCUGGGCGUCGGGAGAGAGCGCGGAGGUAGCGGGCGCCUGCGCAGUACACUCUGGAGCGGGUCAAUUUUAGGGACUGACUACGCUGUUGAAAAUAGGGGAGCAGAUACUGAGUUCUAAACCUUCUUGAAACCUUGGCAUAGGCCAGGCGCGGUAGCCCACGUCUGUAAUCCCUGCACUUUGGGAGGCCGAGAGGGGAUGAUCGCUUGAGGCUAGGAGUUCGAGACCAUCCUGGCCAACAUGGUGAAACCCUGUCUCUACAAAACAUACAAAAAUUAGCUGAGCGUGGUUGCGCGCGCCUGUAAUCCCAGCUACUUGGGAAGCUGAGACAGGAGAAUUGCCUGAACCCGUGAGGCAGAGGUUGCAGUGAGCCGAGAUCACGCCGCUGCACUCCAGCCUGAGCACAGAGCAAGACUCUUAAACAACAACAACAACAACAACAAAACAAACAAAAACACCUUGACCUUCUCCGUCUCUUCUCUAAACAAACGAACGAAAACCUUGACCUCAGUAUGCCUGGCGGAGAUUAUCUCCAAAUCCGUUUCUGCCUUCACAGCACCCAUCUCGCUUUUUGGCAUGUAGUAGAUGCUCAGUAAAUGGUCAAUGAAAGGACCAGUGCCUUUCCGUGGGCUGCAUUGUGCUGGGCACUGGGGUCACACAGAUGGUGGGACAGAAACGAUCUCUCUAGCCUCCAAUUCUCCCACUCCCUCCCAAAACCUCCAUACCUCUUCUCGCCCCUUUCUUCCCCACUGCCCCCCCAUGUUAGUGUAGAAGAGAGAUAGGUCUUUAGCGGUGGGACUCUUACCUUUGGACCCGUUUACAGACCAAGUGCCCUCUUUGUAGAAGAACUAAUUUAUACCUGAAAUCCAGGCAGCUGAAGCGAUGUGGUCAUAAUGCCUUCUGGAUUUAGGGUGGAUGUUCUCGUGGGGCCUGACAUGCCUGUUUGAUAUUGUCUGUCUCAGUUUAAGCUGAUUGGUUUCCCAGCUGUUAUGCCUGUCUUGCUUGUUGUUGGGCCCUAGGACACAGGAGUGUAGCUUUCCUAGAGAAUUCUACCAAAAAAAUUUUUUUUUCUAGAAAACAAAAUGAAAGAAAACAAAUAUGGAAGCACAGAAAUGGGAGUGGAUGCAGAACAGCUUGUCAAAGAUUCUACUUCAAACAUGUAUGCUCCAGCUCCCCCGCCUUGUGGUUUUGUUUUGUUUUGUUUUGUUUUUUUUUGGAGACGAAUUCUUGCUCUGUUGCCCAGGCUGGAAUGCAGUG
rnacentral:lncRNA from 10 species